rnacentral:rRNA from 1 species
GACGAACGCUGGCGGCGUGCUUAACACAUGCAAGUCGAGCGGUAAGGCCCUUUCGGGGUACGACGAGCGGCGAACGGGUGAGUAACACGUGGGUGACCUGCCCUCAGCUCUGGGAUAAGCCUGGGAAACCGGGUCUAAUACUGGAUAUGACUCCAUGACGCAUGUUGUGGGGUGGAAAGCCUUGUGCGGCUGAGGAUGGGCCCGCGGCCUAUCAGCUUGUUGGUGGGGUGANGGCCUACCAAGGCGACGACGGGUAGCCGGCCUGAGAGGGCGACCGGCCACACUGGGACUGAGACACGGCCCAGACUCCUACGGGAGGGCAGCAGUGGGGAAUCUUGCGCAAUGGGCGAAAGCCUGACGCAGCGACGCCGCGUGAGGGAUGACGG